rnacentral:rRNA from 1 species
CCCUUAGAUGUUCUGGGCUGCACGCGCGCUACACUGACACACUCAGCGAGUUCCUGUACCGAGAGGUUCGGGUAAUCAUGUGAGCGUGUGUCGUGAUGGGGAUAGAAUAUUGUAAUUAUUGCUCUUCAACGAGGAAUUCCUAGUAAGCGCAAGUCAGCAGCUUGCGCUGAUUACGUCCCUGCCCUUUGUACACACCGCCCGUCGCUCCUACCGAUUGGGUGAUCCGGUGAAUGACUCGGACUUUGACGUUCCUAGACACUAGGUUCGUCGAGGGAAGUUUUGUGAACCUUNUNACUUGGNGGAAGGAGAANUCGUANCA